GUUCUAUCCAAACACACCCUUAGUGAGUUUCAAAUAGUGCAAGAAAAGUUUUUAUGAGUACUUGAUUAAGCUUUCUAAACCUUUGGUUGUUAUAAAACUAAUCUUUUUCUCAUGAUUUAUUAAUUACACUCAUCAUCUUUAUGAUCCUUUAACCACCUUUUUGUUAGUCUUAGGGUUCUUCAUCAAAACACCCAAAUAUCAACAUUUGUUCAAGUCAUUGGUUCACACACAAAGCUAUGGUAGUUAAUUCCAGCCAAGGGACUGAUCAAUCAACAUCAUUGCAUGUAUGCAUCAGUACGAUGCGUACUCGUCCAUGUCCAUGCGUACGACUAGGGUUUAUCUUCUGGUUUGUUUUCUGGGAAUCUGGCUCAAAGCCCAAAUGUGUAUGCAUUCUUCUUAUGGCGUAUGCCAAUUUCUUGUUUUCUUUUUCCUUUUUUUGCUUUAUUAGUAUUUAAUGACAUGUUUUAUUAUCUCUCCUUAUUUGUUUAAUCUGCUUUAAUUGCAUAUCUUUUGUCUUGUUUUGUUUCCUUUUGUAUCACAUGUAAUAAAACUAAAAAUACCAAAAAUAUUUGAAAUAGUCUAGUUAAUAUGCUUUCCUUUUUUAAAUAAAAUCCUCAUUAAUUUUUAAGGUUAAUCUAAAGUUUAUAAUCAUGGAAGGUAAUCAAGCAUUAAUUGGAAGAUAUUUCCUUAAAAGAUAAAAGUCUAAUCUAUAUAUAUAAUAAUAGGUGAAGCAGAGAGAAACUCAAAUUGCAAUUCCAAUUAUAACUCUAAUUUUGUGUCAUGUGUCUACAUCUAUGUGGCCAUCAAUUCAUAAUUAUCCUUCCAAUUGUUAGUCCAAUUUUACUAUACACGUGCACAAUCUAAUUAUUAUUAUUAUUAUUAUUUUGAGGUAAAAGAUAGAAGUGUUACUGAUAAGUCCAAACGUAUACCAUGUAUAUACCCUGUUCAAGCAGCCAGAAAACAGUGGUAUUUUUUUUUUUUAGGUAAAAGAUAGAAGUGUUAUUGAUAAGUCCAAAGGUAUACAAUGUAUAUAACCUGUUCAAGCAGCCCGAAAACAGUGGUUUUUUUUUUUUUUAGGUAAAAGAUAGAAGUGUUAUUGAUAAGUCCAAAGGUAUACAAUGUAUAUAACCUGUUCAAGCAGCCCGAAAACAGGGGUAUUUUUUUUUUUUUUUUUUUUUGAGGUAAAAGAUAGAAGUGUUAUUGAUAAGUCCAAACGUAUACAAUGUAUAUACCCUGUUCAAGCAGCCGGAAAACAGGGGAGAAAAUAGAAAUUAAUACAAGUUGAAAAAAAAAACUCCAAAUUCCUCAAAGACUCCCUAUACCCCGUGUGAUCCCACUCCACCCAAAGCUCCAAGUAGCCAUCCCUGUGCCUCAGGUCAAUAUGCAAGGUACUUGAUGAGGAUAGUUUCUCUGUUUCAUGGACUGAGAAACUAUGGUGGCAAUUUUUCUCUCAUCUAUAUCUCCUCUGCUCCUCUCUAAAACUCUAAAACACACAAAGGCUGAAACUAAUCACGUAUUAGAGGGCUUUAAUCUCUUUUCUCUCCUUUUUUUUUCAAUAUGCAAACAAGGUAUUUGAUGAGGAUAAUUCAAGCGUGAGAGAGAGUUCCAACGAUAGGCCGAUGAGAAAGAAGGAAGCAAUCAGAAGUAGAGAGAAAAAUGUUCAGUCCAUACACUCCGUGGAAGAGAAUUACCUCCACAGCUGCUUCACUCAUACUAGAGAGUUUUGUAGGCUUUAUUCAGUAUUGUUAGUGGAAGCAAUUGGACUUGCUCGGUGAUUUUGCUGAAGGAGCUUAUAGCAGAUGCACAUUGCAUCAACAGUCAACACAAGGAAAGGGACUCUAUAUUCUUGAGACUCUUUGAUGUUUGAAGUUUCUGAGCAAGGUUACAGCCUUUCAAAACAAGAUUCAAAAGGUAUUUACUCAACACUCAAAGAGAUUGCCCGCUGUGUCCACCACCAUCACAGCAACAUGGACACUUAAAGAAAUCUUGAAACGCCGGUCAAUGAGUCCUAUCGAGAGGUUUGAAGGUGCAGGUCUCGCCACUGAAUCGUGUUCCAUUACUUUGCAAAAACAACAAAAAAACAUUUGUGUACCAUUAUAUAUUAUAUAUUUGGUAGCUUUUCUUUUUAAAUGUUUGGUUGAGGUUGUUCUUACUUUUUUAAUACUUCUAUUACUUUUGAUGUUUUUUUUUUAUAUUAUAAAUUAUUACUUUUGUAAAUACUUAUUUCCUUUGAUUUAAGUUGUUCUUUAUGCGUGUACUUUGAACUUAUGUUUGGUAAAGUUGUUUUUUAGGC